ensembl:lncRNA
UGUGUCAAGAACCUUAUUCCAGUUCAUGGAAGUGAGCCGAUAUCCAUUCACUCAGACUAGACUCAGCAGUCAUGUUGAAAUAAGUGAGCCAAUGCAAGAAAGCCCGUUGAUUUGGAGGGUGCUUGACAGGUACCAGAAGCCAAGGAAAUAUGGAAGGACAGCCCAACCUAAUGAUACCUACAAAGAGAAAGCACAGCACCGUUCUGACGAGAUAUUUUAAAUACAAGAGGAAUUCUCUGCUCCUUGAAAGUUCUCUGGAAUUCAUCUGACAAACCAUCUGGGCUUGGUGCCUUAUUUUUUAAUGAUAAAUAAGUACUACCUGG